GUAAGGAGCGGUGGACUGAUUACGAGUGAGAAUGUUGGCAUUAGUAGCGAGAUGUGGGUGAGAAUCCCACAGGCCGAAUAUCUAAGGUUUCCUCAGGAAGGUUCGUCCGCUGAGGGUUAGUCGGGACCUAAGCCGAGGCCGAAAGGCGUAGGUGAUGGACAACUGGUUGAUAUUCCAGUACCACUACCAUCGUUAUUAUCGAUGGCGUGACGCAGGAGGAUAGUGUGUGCUAGCUAUUGGAUGCUAGUCUAAGCGUUUAGGCAGUGAGAGUAGGCAAAUCCGCUCUCAUAAUGCUGAGGCGUGAUGGGGAAGGUUCUACGGAACCGAAGUACAUGAUUCCACGCUGCCAAGAAAAGCGUCUAGAGAGAGAAGUAGUGCCCGUACCGCAAACCGACACAGGUAGGUGAGGAGAGAAUCCUAAGGCCGGCGGAAGAAUUACAGUUAAGGAACUCGGCAAAUUGACCCCGUAAGUUCGCGAGAAGGGGUGCCUACGAGAGUAGGCCGCAGAGAAUAGGCCCAAGCAACUGUUUAGCAAAAACACAGGUCUCUGCUAAAGCGAAAGCUGAUGUAUAGGGGCUGACGCCUGCCCGGUGCUGGAAGGUUAAGGGGAACACUUAGCGCAAGCGAAGGUGUGAACUUAAGCCCCAGUAAACGGCGGCCGUAACUAUAACGGUCCUAAGGUAGCGAAAUUCCUUGUCAGGUAAGUUCUGACCCGCACGAAUGGCGUAAUGACUUGGGCACUGUCUCAACUGUGAAUCCGGCGAAGUUGUAGUGCGAGUGAAGAUGCUCGCUACCCGCGAUUGGACGGAAAGACCCCGUAGAGCUUUACUGUAGCUUAGCAUUGAAUUUCGGUAUUGUCUGUACAGGAUAGGUGGGAGACUGGGAAAUCAGGGCGUCAGCCUUGAUGGAGUCGUCCUUGGGAUACCACCCUGACAGUACUGAGGUUCUAACUGGAUGCCAUGAAUCUGGUGACAGGACAUUGUUAGGUGGGCAGUUUGACUGGGGCGGUCGCCUCCUAAAAAGUAACGGAGGCGCCCAAAGGUUCCCUCAGAACGGUCGGAAAUCGUUCGAAGAGUGCAAAGGCAGAAGGGAGCCUGACUGCGACACCCACAAGUGGAGCAGGGACGAAAGUCGGGCUUAGUGAUCCGGUGGUACCUCGUGGGAGGGCCAUCGCUCAACGGAUAAAAGCUACCUCGGGGAUAACAGGCUGAUCUCCCCCAAGAGUCCACAUCGACGGGGAGGUUUGGCACCUCGAUGUCGGCUCGUCGCAUCCUGGGGCUGAAGUAGGUCCCAAGGGUUGGGCUGUUCGCCCAUUAAAGCGGCACGCGAGCUGGGUUCAGAACGUCGUGAGACAGUUCGGUCCCUAUCCGUCGCGGGCGUAGGAAAUUUGAGAGGAGCUGUCCUUAGUACGAGAGGACCGGGAUGGACUGACCUCUGGUGCACCAGUUGUUCCGCCAGGAGCACAGCUGGGUAGCUAAGUCGGGAAGGGAUAAACGCUGAAAGCAUCUAAGCGUGAAGCCCCCCUCAAGAUGAGAUUUCCCAUAGCAUAAGCUAGUAAGACCCCUUGAAGAACACAAGGUUGAUAGGUCAGAGGUGUAAGUGUGGUAACAUAUUUAGCUGACUGAUACUAAUAGGUCGAGGGCUUGACCAA
rnacentral:rRNA from 1 species